rnacentral:rRNA from 1 species
CACGUAGUUAGCCGGGGCUUCUUACUCAGGUACCGUCAUUUUCUUCCCUGCUGAUAGAGCUUUACAUACCGAAAUACUUCUUCACUCACGCGGCGUUGCUGCAUCAGGGUUUCCCCCAUUGUGCAAUAUCCCCCACUGCUGCCUCCCGUAGGAGUUUGGGCCGUGUCUCAGUCCCAAUGUGGCCGGUCACCCUCUCAGGUCGGCUACUGAUCGUCGCCUUGGUAGGCCGUUACCCCACCAACCAGCUAAUCAGACGCGGGUCCAUCUCAUACCACCGGAGUUUUUCACACGGGAUCAUGCAAUCCUGUGCGCUUAUGCGGUAUUAGCAGUCAUUUCUAACUGUUAUCCCCCUGUAUGAGGCAGGUUACCCACGCGUUACUCACCCGUCCGCCACUCAGUCAUUAAAUUCCAUCCGAAACUUCCUUCUAAUUGCUUCGUUCGACUUGCAUGUGUUAAGCACGCCACCAGCGUUCAUCCUGAGCCAGGAUCAAACUCU